rnacentral:tRNA from 1 species
UGAAGAUUAGGAAAAUUAAGUCUUUGAAACUUACAUUAGAGGGUUCAAAUCCCUCAUCUUCAA